rnacentral:lncRNA from 1 species
UUUGAAAGAGGAUAUUCUCAUAUAUAAAGCAGACAAAUCAAACAAAAGAAUCGUCAUGUUACUUAGAAAAAUAGUGUAACAUUGAAAAGUUCAGAAUUAUAAUCAAAGGGUUACAAGUUCAAUUUGUAGACUCAUAGUGAGUCUGAGAGUCUAGGGUCCCAAAGCGGAACCAUAACUCAAACAUAAAGAUCAAAAUUUCCAAAGAAAACCCCAAAUACUGAGGUUACAAUUCAAACACAGAGGUGACAUGGAAAAUCGUUAAACAAAUUCAGAGGUCUCUUUCAGAGACCAAUGAGAAACAAACAGGCAUAAUACAAAGAAAACUGAUUCAAGGUCAUGGAGAACAUGUCUGAAAGAACUCGGAACUUAAACAAGUUCAGAAGAAAAAGGUGAUACAAACUUAAGGAAAAGCAUAUGAAACAUGUUUAAUAAGAACACGAACAGAGUUCAGCAAUGCAAACAAAAAUCCAAAAAAAAAAACCUCAACGGUAAAUACAUAUAGUAGAAGAGUAAGGAAAACAUAACACUGAUUAACAUGUGAGCACAUGCAUAGUAGAAAAAGAAAAUAAGAAGAACAUUAUAUGCAUAGUAAAAGGAAGUCACAGGAGCAUGAUAUAGCAAACACACAUUAAGAAAAGAGAAGGACGAAUCAAAGAUGUUUUUGAAAACCUUUCAGAAACCCUAACGUGAAGACAAACAAUUUUGAAAGAAAAAUUUCGGGUUAAACACUUUGAAAGUCAAGUAAAGCACAAAAACAUCACAGAUCUAGAAAAAUAAAUAGUGGAAAAACCUCGAACAGCUUAGGGUUUCAGAGAAACCCUAAAAUGAGAAAGGCUUGAAAAAGUAAGACCAUGGGGUCGGAUGAGUGAGAAUCAAGCUCCUGAGGCGUGAAUAUGCCGGAGCAAGGCCGGAGAGGCCACAGAACCAUAGAUCUAAGAAGAUCUUAAAAGGAACCAUUGAGUUCAAGGCCUUGAUUCUUCAAAUAUCAAACACACAGGAGUAAUAAAGGGUGAGUAUAAGGUUAUCAUGGCCGGAUGAGCCAUGAUUUCCGGUGAGCUUGAGGUAGGAGACGGUGAGAGAGGCUAGGGUUUCGAGAGUUUUAGAGAGAAUUUGGAGAGGAGAAUAAUUUUAGAGGCGGCGGAUGAAUGAAAGUGAUUUAGGGUUGGGGUGUUUGUGAAUUAAAAAAGA